rnacentral:rRNA from 1 species
ACGGAAGGCAGCAGUAGGGAAUCUUCGGCAAUGGGGGCAACCCUGACCGAGCAACGCCGCGUGAGUGAAGAAGGUUUUCGGAUCGUAAAGCUCUGUUGUAAGAGAAGAACGUGUGUGAGAGUGGAAAGUUCACACAGUGACGGUAACUUACCAGAAAGGGACGGCUAACUACGUGCCAGCAGCCGCGGUAAUACGUAGGUCCCGAGCGUUGUCCGGAUUUAUUGGGCGUAAAGCGGGCGCAGGCGGUUUAAUAAGUCUGAAGUUAAAGGCAGUGGCUUAACCAUUGUUCGCUUUGGAAACUGUUAGACGUGAGUGCAGAAAGGGAGAGUGGAAUUCCAUGUGUAGCGGUGGAAUGCGUAGAUAUAUGGAGGGACACCGGUGGGGAAAGCGGCUCUCUGGUCUGUAACAGACGCUGAGGCUCGAAAGCGUGGGGAGCAAACAGGAUUGGAUACCCUGAUA